GCCGGGUGUGGUGGUGCACGCCUGUAAUCCCAGCUGCUCAGGAGGCUGAGGCAGAAGAAUCGCUUGAACCCAGGAGGCGGAGGUUGCAGUGAGCCGAGUUCACACCACUGCACUCCAGCCUGGGCAACAGAGCGAGACUCCGUCUCAA
rnacentral:SRP_RNA from 1 species